rnacentral:rRNA from 1 species
UACGUAGGGGGCAAGCGUUGUCCGGAAUCAUUGGGCGUAAAGAGCGUGUAGGCGGUUUGGUAGGUCCGCUGUGAAAACUCGAGGCUCAACCUCGAGACGCCGGUGGAAACCAUCAGACUAGAGUCCGGAAGAGGAGUGUGGAAUUCCUGGUGUAGCGGUGAAAUGCGCAGAUAUCAGGAAGAACACCCGUGGCUAAGGCGGCUCACUGGACCGGUACUGACGCUGAGGCACGAAAGCGUGGGGAGCAAACAGG